AUUGAACGCUGGCGGCAGGCCUAACACAUGCAAGUCGAGCGGAUGAAGGGAGCUUGCUCCUGGAUUCAGCGGCGGACGGGUGAGUAAUGCCUAGGAAUCUGCCUGGUAGUGGGGGAUAACGUCCGGAAACGGGCGCUAAUACCGCAUACGUCCUGAGGGAGAAAGUGGGGGAUCUUCGGACCUCACGCUAUCAGAUGAGCCUAGGUCGGAUUAGCUAGUUGGUGGGGUAAAGGCCUACCAAGGCGACGAUCCGUAACUGGUCUGAGAGGAUGAUCAGUCACGCUGGAACUGAGACGCGGUCCAGACUCCUACGGGAGGCAGCAGUGGGGAAUAUUGGACAAUGGGCGAAAGCCUGAUCCAGCCAUGCCGCGUGUGUGAAGAAGGUCUUCGGAUUGUAAAGCACUUUAAGUUGGGAGGAAGGGCAGUAAGUUAAUACCUUGCUGUUUUGACGUUACCAACAGAAUAAGCACCGGCUAACUUCGUG
rnacentral:rRNA from 1 species